CCGCCAGCAGGCCUCUAUCACUAGCAAGUAGCAAAAAUCGAUCGUUGUCGCCGGCGUCUCCUAGUUGCCGGACCCGCACAUGGACGAGUUCAUGCAGUCACAGGAGACGAGCGACAACAUGGUCAUGUCGACGCAACCUUCUCCCACAUCAAGGGCCUCUCCAACCAAAGGGCUCGCGAUUGGGGACCGGGGGAUGCACUGGUUCAGGACGAAUGGCAACUGAAAGGCAUACAGAUGUUCAGCGAGCAGCAAUAAAUUCUUCACAUAUAUCAGACCACAAAAGGAAAUCAUACCAGGACGGAGCACACCCGCUGCAGGAAUGGAUUGGCCAGGAUUUAAUGCUUCGUUUCAGCUCGUCCCUUCUCCAGUCCCACUGUAGGCACCUGCAUAUUGAUGAUGCAAUGAUUUAUUUUUACCAUAUAAAGACAGACAAAAUGGAUAGGACCAUUUAUGCACUAACAGUUAUAUACCUGUU